CCCAGGACAAUUUUCACCCAGAUUUGUUGUCCGAGAUGGAGAUGAUGUCACUCUGCCUUGUGAAAAUAACGGGAGAAAUUAUCAGGAUACAUGUGAAAAAACUACAUGGCUGUUCAAUAAUUUGCGAGAUGAAACAAUUAUUGUUUCUGCAGAGACCCACGUGUAUAAAAACCCUGAAAGACUGAAAAUGACAAAAAAUUGCUCUCUGGCUAUAAAAGGGGUCUCUAAUAAGGAUGUUGGUUUCUACACCUGCAGAACUAUACAUUCAAUGAAACCACAUGAUGCUGCUGCUUAUCUGUUUCUCAUAACAAUGAGUGAGAAGAAAGAGGGCGAGGAUGUUUGGUUGUCUUGCAUCGUGUCAACAAAUGAAAUGUGCAAACACAAAGUGGACUGGAUGUAUGAGGGAAAAACUUUGGAAGAUACCAUGAUCACAAGGAAAUCCAGAUGUUCUGUUACCAUGGUUAUUCCAGAUAGUUUUCCUAAGAAGAACUCUAAAUAUCGUGAGCAGCUUUCAUGCAAAGUGAAGGACGAUCAAACUAAAAGAGAGCAGGUGUUUACCCUCCGCCCUCUAUCUGUUGGAGCUAAACACAAACUGUGCUGCAGAUCUAUCUACUCCAGAAACCAGAGCAAAAGUGGCUGAUCCUGAUAAUCACAUGACGUACUCCACCAUUCAUCACACAAAGAAGGCAAAUAGUAAAACUGGGGUUAAGGAUGGAGAGGAAGAAGGUGACUCGGUGACCUACAGCUCUGUGAAGGUUCAUUCUGCUGAUCCUGGCAGCCUCGACGCAACCAUCCGCAACCUAAAUGAAUGAAAAGAGAAAUAUCUUGUUACUAGAAGUAAUCAUUACCAUAUCAGCUGAUUGCUUUUGUGACUUAUCUAAGGUAAUUGGAGGGCGUUAGAUGGUGUUAGCCAGGUUUCAGUGAAACAAAAACUAUUCAACUUGAAUCCAAAAAUGUAAAAAAAAAAAACACAAUCCACUGGACUUAGUUUCCCAGUUUGAAGAUGUUUCGCUUCCCAUCCAGGCAGAGUUCGUAGCUUUAUAGAAUGGCCCAAAACAAAGUCUUGUUUUGGCUUAGAAAACAUGCAAAUUGAACCUGAAGAACAGGUCCGCCCCUUAGGAAUGGGGAGUCGUUGAGGUCUUUGUUAGCCUGCAAUACCCGAUACUGGUCUAUGCCUCUGAAAAGGGGGUCGUUAGGGGCAAUCAUUGGCCUGGCUGAACAGGUGAGAUGUUCUGGUCUUUUCUGUGACAUCUGACUAUUUCCAAUUUACUUAUAUCUGAUAGUUUCCUUUUUUUAGUUUUUAAAUUAUUGGUAAAUCAUCUAGAAUUCAUUCCUCAACUGUGAUCAGGGUGUUAAAUACAAAAAAAUAGCUUAUUCCUUCGCCAAAGUUCACCAAGACAAAAAAAAUGAAAUCAGAUGUAAAUGCUUUAGCUCU